AUCAGCGGUCAUGGAGAGUCUCCACCCAGGUGGAUCACUGUCACAGAAAAACUUACAACCACAGUGAUGCCAUUCACCUCGGGCCCACACCCUGAUCUCCCCUCCCUCCAGCUUGGGUUUAGAGUGUUCCUCAUCCUUGUGGUGUUCUCUCCAUACUUCAUUUCCACUCUCCUCAUGGUGUCUUUAUAUCUACACAGAGCCAGAGGAAAUGACCUUUGUGCAUCAAACCUGGCCACUCAACCUGAACAGGGAUUGGAUGAUGAGUAUGAUGAUGUCAUCACUGAUGUCACUACAGAGCAUCACUUCUGAAUCAGAGCUCUGUUGUGUCUUUGAGCAUCUCACUAUUGCCUCAGAUAUGCUUCUGUGGGAAAUCUCGCUGUAAACUUCAACAUGACCUGAUGUGCACCUCUUGAGAAAUGUAACUACACACACAGCCUGCAAUGACUUGAAUAGCGUGGAAGAUUGUGUUAUGGGGAUAAUGGGAGUUUCCAGUGACUAGGACGUCAAGUUCCCGCAGACUUUUAUAUCAAGUUUAACUUUGUCAGCCUGUCACCUCUUUUGUGGAGAUGAUUUGAAUAAAUGGACUCUGAUGUUCAUCUAUAGCUGUUUUUAUAUAGAUAAAGUAUUCCUGCUCUGAAAAAACUACAAACAUAUAAAUAUAUGAGUUAAACUA